rnacentral:rRNA from 1 species
UCCGAAUUUUUGACGAGCGCAUCUAUUAGAUUAAAACCAAUCGGGUUUCGGCCCGUUUGUUGGUGACUCUGAAUAACUAUGGCUGAUCGCAUGGUCUAGAACCGGCGACGUGUCUAUCAAGUGUCUGCCUUAUCAACUGUCGAUGGUAGUUUAUGUGCCUACCAUGGUUGUAACGGGUAACGGAGAAUAAGGGUUCGACUCCGGAGAGGGAGCCUGAGAAACGGCUACCACAUCCAAGGAAGGCAGCAGGCGCGCAAAUUACCCACUCUCGGCAUGAGGAGGUAGUGACGAAAAAUAACGAGACCGUUCUCUAUGAGGCCGGUUAUCGGAAUGGGUACAAUUUAAACCCGUUAACGAGGAUCUAUGAGAGGGCAAGUCUGGUGCCAGCAGCCGCGGUAAUUCCAGCUCUCAAAGUGUAUAUCGUCAUUGCUGCGGUUAAAAAGCUCGUAGUUGGAUCUGCGCCUCAGGACCUGGUCCGCCCACUGGGUGAGAACUGGGCUCCUGGGCUAGUUCUGCUGGUUUUCCCUGCGUUGCCUUCAUCGGUAGCGUAGGGUGGCUAGCGAGUUUACUUUGAAAAAAUUAGAGUGCUUCACGCGGGCUUAUGUCUGAAUACUCGUGCAUGGAAUAAUAGAAUAGGAUCUCGGCUCUAUUUUGUUGGUUUUCUGAUCUGAGAUAAUGGUUAAGAGGGACGGACGGGGGCAUUCGUAUCGCUGCGUGAGAGGUGAAAUUCUUGGACCGUAGCGAGACGUCCGACUGCGAAAGCAUUUGCCAAGAAUGUCUUCAUUAAUCAAGAACGAAAGUCAGAGGUUCGA